GGAGGGGCAUAGCCUAGUGGUAAAGCAUCUGCUUUGCAUGCAGAAGUUCCCAGGUUCAAUCCCCAGCAUCUCCA